AUAGAACUUUAGGCAAAGAAAGAAGAAGUUGUUGUUCCCAUCAUCUUCGAACAAAAAUAGGGAAAAAGAAAUCUUGAAACACUGUCAAAUAAAAGAUUUGUGAUCGUAAGAUUCUUCUUUGUUCAAAGAGUAACUUUAAAUAAUGUAAUUUCAGUUGCAAAACAUGAAUAACCCAAAAUAACCCGAACUAGACUUUAAAAAAUAGCAAACGUACCUUUCAGCGAAGCAAAAAAAGACUACACGGACAUAAAUCCAUCACUUAAACGACACAUUUUAAGACUGAAUCUGUUUUAUGCAAUAAAGUAGAAGGAAAUUGUCCGCAAGCCGCUCAUACUAAAUACAUCCUUUUAUUAAGUUGCGUUUACACGUGCGAGUUUUUCACUAUCGUGAGUAGCCGAUUUAUUCUCGAGAGCAGGUGUAAACGCUUCUGAGAGUUACUCUCAGAAAUUCAAUUAGAGUUUAACUUUCUGAGAGUACUAUCAAGAGUGUCUUCACCAAAAAAAAUGGACACAUGAGGAAGUUGCAGACUCAUCGAGGCAUAUGAGUCUAAUCCAAUCCUUUGGGACAUUAAGGAGGGCUGCUAUAAAAAUAGAAUUAUAAAAACAUAAUUCUUGAAAUGCUAGCCAAAGACUUUGAGGAAAAUAUAGUGGAAAUAAAUAGAAAAAUACACAACUUGAGAAAUCAGGUUUCUCAGGAUGAAAAUAUGAAUGAAAUGAAAAAUAAGAAUAGUUGAAGUGGAACCAGUGAAACGAAAAUUUGUGCUACUGAACAGGAUUUGCCAAUAAUAGCAAUUGUUUAAAUUUUGAUGUUCAAAAUGCACUAAUAUUGUUUAUCAAUUUUUAAAUGCUAGUGUCAAAUUCUGUAGAGCAUAUUGAUUUGGAAAACGCCACAGUUCCCUCUGAUGACGCUACUCCAAUUGACACAUCAAAAGAAAAGUUAUCUGCGAAGAAAAGAAAAAAUAUGGACAAUGACAGUGUUAUUAAAGCAGCACUAGAAGUGCUCACUACAAAAUCCCGAUGAACAUGACAAAUUCGGAGAGUACAUUGUGAUCUCUCAAUUUUAAAAAUGUGAGAAGAAAAUUGAAAACAAAUUAGACAAUUAAUAUUGGCUGUCGUACAGGAAGAAGAUGCGUAUUUGAGUUGUCCUGCCAGCAGCAGUACAUUUAUAACAUUUUAUUUAAUUAAAUACUUUUUAUUUAUAAAUCUUUUGUGUGGUAUAAAAUAAAUAAAAAAUAUAUAUAGGAAAA